AUUUCCUUGCCUUAAUCCCAAUUUCUUCCCCUAAGCUCUCACCGACGCCUCCUCCCCUCUCCGUGCCAACUCUCUUCAUCUUCCCCAACUGACGCGCUACCCUCGCGCCGCCUCGCGACGCCUCUACUUCCUCACUGAUAAAAUCCAUCGGCCAAGGGAAGUUUCGAGCCUUUCCCCUUACGUCGUCCCCUUCCUCUCACCUUUGCCUUGAUUCCCCUCUUCCACUCCUCUGGCCGAUCGAGAUCUCUCCACCGUCGCCUCCUCGGCCGACCACCGUUCAGUUCCAAGCCUUCCUCUUUCGAAGCUCUCAGUUUCUCCUCGCCUCACACCACCAAUCCGUGCCCUAGCUCACUGAAUCGCCACUCCACACCAGUCAUCUCUGACCAAGAGAGGGAGAUCCGAGCCCUAGAUUGGCUGGAGUAGGUUGUGAUAAGCUUCUAGAAGGUUAUUUCAGCCUACUAGUCAGAUAUCGAGCUACUACCGACGAUCUUUUCUUUGUUGAUCUCAACAGCCGUUAGAUCUAACCGACGGAGAAGGAACAACCGAUUGGUGGCUUCUGGGUAGUGUUGGCCACAAGUUUUGACAGCAACAUCUUCCGGCAAGCAAUUUUCGGUAGCUGCUCUACCUGGCUGUGGAUCAAUAGGAGAGGCUUUGGGUUGAGGGUCUUGAACACUUUAUGAAGUAAGUGAAAUUGGCAGAGCAUGGAUUAUCCUAUGCUGUAGUUUCUAUCGUGGACCCACAAAGUAGUGGGAAGAGCACUCUAUUAAACCAUUUAUUUGACACCAACUUUCGAGAGAUGGAUGCUUUCAGGGGAAGGCAAGUUCUUGAAUUCUUGUAUAUAUAUAUUAUCAAUUUUAGUGCUACUGAUAUAUGAGUUAUUUUAGAUCACAAACCACAAAAGGCAUUUGGUUAGCAAAUUGUGUUGGGAUUGAACCAUGUACAAUUGCUAUAGGCUUAGAAGGUACUGAUGGACGAGAAUGAGGAGAGGUAUUAUUCUCAACCAAACUAUUGAACUCACAAUAGGUCUCUUUUGGCAUAGGAUUAAGCAUUUUAUCUUUUGAAGUUCUAGAUAUGCCUAAGAGGUGCCCCUAUCUUAGAAUGAUUUUAGGCAUAUAAAAUAAAAUUCUCAUUAUUUACAAACCUCUAACAUUUAACAAAAUUAGUCAAUGUGAUGAGAAAUUCAACUUGUUCAAGACUUUCUUUUAGAAAGCUCGUUGUCACGAUUGCAACCAUUUGAUACUUUAUGAAGUUGGUUAAGAAUCAUGUAGUUUUCAUUAACAAGUUAAUUAAGAAGCUCUAUUUGCAAUGUUGAGGACUUGAAUCGUAGAGCAGUCACCUUGAAAACAUCUUAGUAUAAGCUUGUUGAAUCAAGUUCACAAUUAUAGUUGUUUACCUUUUCUCUCCUUUGUUUACCUUAAUUGGAUUUUUUACUCCAUUUCUCAGUCUGUCGAUAACACAACUUUGAGUUAUGUUUCUACUUUGUUCAGAAUGAUACUGCCUUUGAGAAGCAGAGUGCUCUUUUUUCUUUAGCAGUUUUUGAUAUAGUCCUAAUAAACAUGUAAGUUCAUUUUCAUUAUGCGUCAAAUGCUACCUUUGUCUAGAACAAGGGUGAGCAUUUGCCUCUAUGAUAUAGGUGGUGCCAUGAUAUUGGUCGAGAACAAGUGGCAAAUAAGUCUCUUUUAAAGACAGUCUUCCAGGUGAUGCUGAGACUGUUUAGUCCUCAUAAGACCACACUACUCUUUGUUAUACGAGAUAAAAUAAGGAUCUCCUGGUGCCUUAUCAAAGGGGUGGAAAGAUUGGACUUUUUGAUGGAGUUGGUGUGGGAAGACUGGAUUUAUUAUGGAAUUGAUGAUCAACAAUGUUGGAAAAGGUUGGCAUGGAAGAAUCAGCAAGUGAGAAAGAGGAGUCCAAUGAAAUUCUACAAGUUGAAGAUUGUGAUGGGGCUGGGGUUGACAAUAAUUACUUGUAAUCCUACAUGGCAUGAAUCACCAUCAUAAGUUUCUAGUCUUUUGA